rnacentral:lncRNA from 1 species
GACGAGUUGUAAGCCAAUCAGGAAGGUCGUUGCUUUUUAAAAGCGAGCCGCCAAACAACAAACUUUCUUGAACACCGAAGGUUGUGGUGUACGCGGAGUUCCUACAUUCAUACACGACUGUCUUCGUCUUUCUCUCAGAAAUCUACCAGAGUUCAGUGACCGCAAGGAUGAGCGCGUUGAUGUUCGCCGGUCAGGAGAACGUCAGGCUGAGGCUGCCUCCGGGCAAGGAUCGCAUGCGACUGAAGUCUGCACCGGAGCUAAACACAGAAAAGGGCUUUAAAACUCCUGGCCCGACCACGCCCCUGCUGAAUCGUCCAAGACUGUGUUCUCAGAAGGUGACUCACACCCCCAAUGUAUACCCCCAGAGAGAAGACCCUGACCUGCGUUGUCGUGUGAAGGACGCUCAACCGCCGGCAGAAGAUGCAGAGCCUGACAUCGAGAGAAUGUUCCCCUACAGGCCAGAUGACUUUGAGCGUUACGGCGUGACUGAUGGGGUCUUGUAUCUGAGUGCCCUUCCCCUCGCUGGAGCUCCGUGGUUGCCGUGGCACCCUGUGAUUCCAGAGGCUGAUGACAUCACCUUAGAGGCAUGUGAGCCCCUGCCUCCACCACACACAGAGGAGCACAGGGAAGUGCUGGAUGACUUCCUGCUGACGCUCAGUGAGCUGAUGGUGGACCUGCCGCCCCCUCCAGAGGAUGAUGAUCUCGACCUUUGACCUUAGCAUCGUGGCUGUGUACACCUGCAGUUUUUAAGUUUUGUUGUGAUCUAUUGGGUUUUGUAUUAUCUUUUUCAAUAAAGUUCCUUGUUCAGAAAGUAUGCUGUGGGAU